ensembl:lncRNA
GAGCGCAAGGUCAUUUAUCGCGUUCUACGCGUAAUGAAUAGGACGCAGCCGUUUAUGCCGCUUAUCUUAAAAAUAAUAAUAAACAGUCUACAUAUAGCCUAUGGUAAAAAAAAACAUUCACUGAUGCUCAACAGUGUGUGCAGCCUAUACCUUAUGGUUCAGGGUGAAUAUAUCCAAUCAUCAAAUCAAAUUCAAGCAGUCCAGACUGGUGAAGGGGCGAGGCGAUAAGGUGGUCCAGACUCCAGUCGAGGGAGGAGCAACAGCUAUCCAUGCAUCACACUCCGAGGAACCUGUUAGAAAACUGACAGACCUGAUCAACACUCCCACACAGCUGCACAAAUUGCCCACAAACCAGUCAGCAGAUGGGCUGGCUUGUGUGAGACCCACAUAACUGACAGAAAAGAUUACAAUCUUAACAAACAAAUGUGCCUGAAAGUAAACACUGCCCAGACUAGCUAGCAUCUCAUGUGGCCCACCGUAGAAUGGUCUUCAUUGCUAUUUGCAGCUAUUUUACUAUUAUUUGCCUGUUAUUACAUUUAAUUUAGAAGAAUAUAGGACUGUGUCAUAUAUUUGUACUCUAACAAAAGUGAGCCUAGCCGGUGCUAGUUUACCAAGAACACCUAAUUUAAUUACAAAGAGAUCCAAUUUCCUGAGCACAAUAGUGGCAUCAUCAUUUCCUUCCCUGCCUUAUAAUUUCAUAUUUUAUGAUAACAAUAUAAGACAAAUAAUAGAACACUUGCAUUGGAACAACUAUUUUUUUUCAAACGUAAAGUUAAAACGAUUGACUGACUAUAUAAUUAAAAACGUAUUGAUUGUAGCCCAUAGCUGACAUUAAAACUCAGUGGGCCAGUAAAUUUAGUCAAAGAAUGCUCAGGUAUGUAUCGCCACCAUGUGGCUACCUUGUGAAGUUACGCCUUCAUGUAGCGAUCGCCGCAUCUUAAUGACCCGAUAUUCCACAAGAAACACAUGAACAUGGCCCAUAAAGAGAAAACCCCUAUGCGCGUUUGGCGUCAGACCAUUUCAUUAAUUUAUUGCUAUAUUCCGAAACGCCAAGUGUAGCCUAUAGACUUUCCAUGUAUGAUAAUAAAUAACGUAAAGAUCAAUAUCAACUGUCCCGUUUUCAUCGCAUUGGUCAAAUCUAGUCUACGUCGUGCGCGCUUUUAGUCUAUCCUGAUUACUCCAGCUGCUCCACUUCGUAUUCCGUUUCUGUUCGCGUGCGGUGUAUACUUGGUGUCAAUGUAACCUACUGUAGGUAGAGGAAAAAUCGCCAUUGUAACGUUAUUCAUUUUUUCUCGACUGGAACUAGUACAACGAUACUGCUUUGUUAUGGUUUUUGGAUUUGCCUAAAUUUCAUAUUUAGAUAGGGUGGUUUUAAGGACUACAGAGAUUGUAACAUAUGAAAUAAGACAGACGCAAAGAGGAUGUGGCCCAGAAACCAGGUCGAUGAAAUAUUGGCGCUAUCAUGAGAGGAAAUGGUAUGGACCUUUUAUGGAGAAUCUUAGCGGCUCUGAGCUUCGAUUGUUUUAAGGAUUCGGCGUCUUCACAGAGAGCCGAAGUGUCAAUAUCACAGUCUCCAGGCAAGCUGAGCUCCAGCCAGGCAGGUAGUCUGGAAAGCAGCUCCCUGACUGGCUCUCUCUCCUUGGGGCCAGACCUGCCUCACUGCCAGUGCUGCAUCUCCUACGAAGCCCGUCUGAAACGCCUGUCCUGUGGCCACCUCUACUGUGACCCCUGCACAGACCAGAUCGUCAACCUGGCCUUUGAGGACAUCGAGGGACUCUCUGAUUACCCCUGCCCCAUGUGCAAGUCCCUCCGCCAGCUUGGGGACCUGGGCCCCCCCUCUUAUGGGUACCUGGGUACCCCCUCUUUUGGGCCAUGUGGGACCCUGCAGUAGCAGGUGGCUAAAGAGCAUGGGAGCAGCUGGGGGUAAAACUGAGGCAGUUUAUACUGUACAUCAAGGGGUGUGGUUAAAAAACAAAUGCAUGUUGUCCCCUCUCCAGAUGAAAUACUGUAGGAACCAUUUAGACUUUUCAGUUAUGUCUUUAGUGUUUUGAUUUGAAUAUUUGAAUGCACUGCCUUACACUGAGAUUGUGAUCUGGUAUUGUGUGAUGGAUAGUGGCUCAGUGUUUCUUCUUUGUGUAAUAUGGUGGUGGAAGUGAAACUAAUGGAAGUGCAUAACAUUACAGAUAAUGUCCAUUGGUGUGCCAUGACAUACUGUAAAUUGAUAUUACAGGGUGAUUAAGCCAGAGCUAAGUAUUAGAUGUUUGUGUCAGACAGUUCUUUACAUUUAUGUGUACUGCUUAUUAUUAGUAGACAUUUGGACCUUACUUAAAAAAUAUGAUAUUUUGAGUAUACUUACUGCUUAUGCAUUUUAAUUUAACUUAAUUGUACAGUGCCAUGCUACUUUUAAAGUGUUCAAUAUCAUAUUGUAAAUAUAUAUUUUGCUAAAAAAAUAAAGUUUGUGAAUUGUA